rnacentral:tRNA from 1 species
GGUAGGGCGGCAGACUCAAUUGCCCUGCCCUUUCAAGGCAGAGAUCAAGGGUUCGAAUCCCUUCAGUACUU